CUGGCGGCUUGUCCUGGGGGAUUGGCAGCCGGAGCAGGAGUUAGCUUCUGAUACUGCAUUGUUUCCAGUGGUGUUCUCUUUGUUUUUAUGUCUUUUUUAUUAUUGUUAUUGCAAAUUUCCAGGUUUUUAUAACAAUUUUUUUUUUCCUGGAUUUGACGACUGGUACCAUUCACUAACAGUCUGGCUGUACAUGUUUAGUUAAUUACAGGGGGGAAGCAUGGCAACGGAAGGAGAGGAUAUGGCUGUCCUAGCCAUGAGUGAAGUGUCUGAGGGAGUGGAUGGCGACGCUCAGGAAAUGCCUCCAUCUGUUGAGUCGGCGCAGGUCGCAGUACCGCGGCCUCGUCUAUAUCGCACAAGGCAAUUGCUGGAUGGUGUGCCCGAGGCAGAGGUGAUUAAACUUUACCGCCUAUCCUCACACGCAAUCUAUGCGCUGUAUGACAUCUUGGAGCCCGACCUGGAGCCGCGUGUGGCCACGAACCACGCAGUGCCCGGCCUGGCCAAGCUGCUCGCGUCUCUGCACUUUUUUGCAUCCGGCCGUUUUCAGCCAACGGUCUCCCUAAUCGCCGGCUUUUCCCAGGCCACGUUUUCGCGCUCUUUGUUCCAGGUGCUAACGGCUUUAAAGAAACACACCACGGACUUUAUAAAAUUCCCGCAAUCCGACAGCGAGUGGAGGGAGAUCAAAUCAGAUUUUUUUUCUAUUGCCGGCAUGCCAAAUGUUUUGGGGGCAUUGGACUGCAUGCAUGUGGCACUCACUACGCCGCGGCAAAAUGCGGAAUGUUUUCGGAACCGUAGAGACUUUCACUCGCUAAAUGUGCAGAUGGUGAGUGACGCCAAUCAAAGAAUUCUGAAUGUUGUGGUGGGGUUUCCCGGAUCUACACAUGAUUCUUAUAUUCUGCGCCAGUCUGCACUGUUCCGCCAAAUCGAGGAAGGAUCAGUCCCAUACGGUUGGCUGCUUGGUGACACUGGAUAUAGAAGCCGCAUUUGGCUGUUAACGCCUAUGUCGGAACCUGUUACUGCCGCUGAAAAAAGGUACCAAUCCGCACACGCAGCAACGAGGGGUGUUGUUGAAACAACCUUCGCUGCUCUUAAGAGCCGGUUCCGCUGUUUAGACAAGUCCGGCGGUGCGCUAUUGUACUCUCCUUCAAAGGUUUGCGACAUAACUAUCGCGUGCUGCAUUUUGCACAACAUUUGCGUAGCAAACAAUUUGACGGUAGAGAUUAAUCCCAGUGUUUAUCAGGAAGAGGACCUUUCUCCGGUGGUAGUAGAUACCAGGGAUCUAGGCGGCCAGGUCCGGCGUCGUGUUAUAGAAGAUUAUUUUUCAUCUCCUCUCCCACCAUCCUGAAUGUACCAGCCACAUACGUAGACUUUUCAUAGAUGAUUGCACACCUACCAAACUUAGUAGUGCUGCCAACUGUAAAGAAUUCCUUGUGGGUUCAAAGUGUGUAAGAGAAAAUCCGGAUCAGCCAAGCCUGGAAUAUCCUGUCGCCAUGGUUUCAGCUUCCCCGCCAGUAUCGCACACGGAUCAGUGCAAGGCUUGUAUAGAUGUAUCAUAUACUAAAGCGGCUCUUCAAGGAUCUUGAUUACGUGUCAGACAGCGGACCCACAUAGAGGACCCCAAACCACAAAAGUGUGUGAAGACUAUGGACCAAAGGAAUGAAUGCUCGAUAGAAAAUAUUUUAGUAAUU